rnacentral:rRNA from 1 species
UACGUAGGGGGCAAGCGUUGUCCGGAUUUAUUGGGCGUAAGGAGCGUGUAGGCGGCCAUUCAGGUCAGCUGUGAAAACUCGAGGCUCAACCUCGAGACGCCGAUGGAAACCGUCUGGCUAGAGUCCGGAAGAGGAGAGUGGAAUUCCUGGUGUAGCGGUGAAAUGCGCAGAUAUCAGGAAGAACACCCGUGGCUAAGGCGGCUCUCUAGUACGGUACUGACGCUGAGACGCGAAAGCGUGGGGAGCGAACAGG